rnacentral:rRNA from 1 species
UUUUUAUGGAGAGUUUGAUCCUGGCUCAGGACGAACGCUGGCUGCGUGCUUAACACAUGCAAGUCGAACGCUGAAGCCAGAAGCUUGCUUCUGGUGGAUGAGUGGCGAACGGGUGAGUAACACGUGAGUAACCUGCCCCCGAUUUCGGGAUAAGCCCGGGAAACUGGGUCUAAUACCGGAUACGACCAAUCCUCGCAUGAGGGUUGGUGGAAAGUUU